rnacentral:rRNA from 1 species
GCUGAAGCCUGGUGCUUGCACCGGGUGGAUGAGUGGCGAACGGGUGAGUAACACGUGAGUAACCUGCCCCUGACUUCGGGAUAAGCCCGGGAAACUGGGUCUAAUACCGGAUACGACUGCCGGACGCAUGUCUGGUGGUGGAAAGUUUUUUCGGUUGGGGAUGGGCUCGCGGCCUAUCAGUUUGUUGGUGAGGUAAUGGCUCACCAAGACGACGACGGGUAGCCGGCCUGAGAGGGCGACCGGCCACACUGGGACUGAGACACGGCCCAGACUCCUACGGGAGGCAGCAGUGGGGAAUAUUGCACAAUGGGGGAAACCCUGAUGCAGCGACGCAGCGUGCGGGAUGACGGCCUUCGGGUUGUAAACCGCUUUCAGCAGGGAAGAAGCGCAAGUGACGGUACCUGCAGAAGAAGUACCGGCUAACUACGUGCCAGCAGCCGCGGUAAUACGUAGGGUACGAGCGUUGUCCGGAAUUAUUGGGCGUAAAGAGCUCGUAGGUGGUUGGUCACGUCUGCUGUGGAAACGCAACGCUUAACGUUGCGCGUGCAGUGGGUACGGGCUGACUAGAGUGCAGUAGGGGAGUCUGGAAUUCCUGGUGUAGCGGUGAAAUGCGCAGAUAUCAGGAGGAACACCGGUGGCGAAGGCGGGACUCUGGGCUGUAACUGACACUGAGGAGCGAAAGCAUGGGGAGCGAACAGGAUUAGAUACCCUGGUAGUCCAUGCCGUAAACGUUGGGCACUAGGUGUGGGGGGGCAUUCCACGUUCUCCGCGCCGUAGCUAACGCAUUAAGUGCCCCGCCUGGGGAGUACGGUCGCAAGGCUAAAACUCAAAGGAAUUGACGGGGGGCCCGCACAAGCGGCGGAGCAUGCGGAUUAAUUCGAUGCAACGCGAAGAACCUUACCAAGGCUUGACAUACACCGGGACCGUCCUGGGAAACAGGUCCUCUUCUUUGAAGCUGGUGUACAGGUGGUGCAUGGGUUGUCGUCAGCU